rnacentral:rRNA from 1 species
CUAAGGCUGAUGGCGACCGGCGCACGGGUGAGUAACACGUAUCCAACCUGCCGAUAACUCGGGGAUAGCCUUUCGAAAGAAAGAUUAAUACCCGAUGGUAUAAUAAAACCGCAUGGUUUAAUUAUUAAAGAAUUUCGGUUAUCGAUGGGGAUGCGUUCCAUUAGGCAGUUGGUGAGGUAACGGCUCGCCAAACCUUCGAUGGAUAGGGGUUCUGAGAGGAAGGUCCCCCACAUUGGAACUGAGACACGGUCCAA